rnacentral:rRNA from 1 species
UACGUAGGGCGCAAGCGUUGUCCGGAAUUAUUGGGCGUAAAGAGCUCGUAGGCGGCCUGUUGCGUCCGCUGUGAAAACCCGGGGCUUAACCCCGGGCUUGCAGUGGAUACGGGCAGGCUGGAGGCAGGCAGGGGAGAACGGAAUUCCCGGUGUAGCGGUGAAAUGCGUAGAUAUCGUGAGGAAGACCGGUGGCGAAGGCGGAUCUCUGGACAGUUCCUGACGCUGAGGCGCGAAGGCCAGGGGAGCAAAGCGGG